CCUACGGGUGGCUGCAGUGGGGAAUCUUGCGCAAUGGGCGAAAGCCUGACGCAGCCAUGCCGCGUGAAUGAUGAAGGUCUUAGGAUUGUAAAAUUCUUUCACCGGGGACGAUAAUGACGGUACCCGGAGAAGAAGCCCCGGCUAACUUCGUGCCAGCAGCCGCGGUAAUACGAAGGGGGCUAGCGUUGCUCGGAAUUACUGGGCGUAAAGGGAGCGUAGGCGGACAUUUAAGUCAGGGGUGAAAUCCCGGGGCUCAACCUCGGAACUGCCUUUGAUACUGGGUGUCUUGAGUGUGAUAGAGGUAUGUGGAACUCCGAGUGUAGAGGUGAAAUUCGUAGAUAUUCGGAAGAACACCAGUGGCGAAGGCGACAUACUGGAUCAUUACUGACGCUGAGGCUCGAAAGCGUGGGGAGCAAACAGGAUUAGAUACCCGAGUAGUC
rnacentral:rRNA from 1 species